rnacentral:rRNA from 1 species
CCUACGGGAGGCUGCAGUGGGGAAUAUUGGGCAAUGGGCGCAAGCCUGAUCCAGCAACGCCGCGUGAAGGAAGAAGGCUUUCGGGUUGUAAACUUCUUUUCUCAGGGACGAAGAAAGUGGCGGUACCUGAGGAAUAAGCCACGGCUAACUACGUGCCAGCCGCCGCGUUAAUACGUAGGUGGCAAGCGUUAUCCGGAUUUAUUGGGUGAAAAGGGUGCGUAGGUGGUUGCUUACGUCAGAGGUGAAAGGCUACGGCUCAACCGUAGUAAGCCGUUGAAACUGGGGAACUUGAGUGCAGGAGAGGAAGGUGGAAUUCCUGGUGUAGCGGUGAAAUGCGUAGAUAUCAGGAGGAACACCAGUGGCGAAGGCGGCUCUCUGGACUGUAACUGACGCUGAGGCACGAAAGCGUGGGGAGCAAACAGGAUUAGAUACCCUUGUAGUC